rnacentral:lncRNA from 1 species
AGCCUUGUUGAUGUCCAUGAGUAGACAUGCCGACUUUCCGUCAGUUAGGGGAGUUGUUUGUAUGUUGUUGGUCAAAAUAAAUAGCGGAUGAAUAGUAGAGUGAUAUUGUUUGAAACCAAAUUGGUAGGUUGGUAUAUGUUUUCCGAUCAGUUCUUCGAUUCUCUGUUUUAGUAUGUGUUCCAAAACUUUGCACAGCACCGGGACUAAUAUAAUAUGUCUGUUGUAGUUUUCCAUUUGCGUACCGUCUCGUCCAUUUUGAGGUAUAGGAAUUAUUACACCACUCUUCCAUGUUUUAGGAAUUUUGUUAUUUCUAAUGCAGUUGUUGAUUUCACUAAGGAUGAGUUUGUGGGUUUCUUGGGUUAAGCUUUUUAGGAGUUUUGUCUUUCCCGGUGCUGUGUUGAUUAUAUGUGAUAGAGCUUCAUCGUACUCUGUGUCUCUGAUUAGUUUGUAAGUGUAUUUUGGUGAGUUGUUAAAGUAGUUCAAGUACCAGUCAUUGAUCAUGUUCCAGUUGUCAGUGUCGAAGUUAGGGUUUGUCGAUAUGCUGAAGGCCUUUUGAUAGUGUCUGGCGAACGCGUCAGCUGUCUCUUUGUUUGUGCAACGUUCUAUUCCGUUUUCGUCAAUUGUGUCAGUAGUGUUAGUUUUUGGAGUAUUAGAAGUUUCGUAAUUUUUCGCCAGUAUGUUUUGCCAUUGUCACUUUUGUAUUUCCUUACAUGUUUCUAGCCAUUUGUCUUGUCGGUAUUGUCCAAUCAAACUUUUAAUGUUUCUGUUGAGUUGUGUAUGACGGUAGAAAACAUUUUUUAAUUCCGGGCUAAAUGUUUCUAUGGCUAGUGAAAAUUGUUGUUGUAUGGUUUCUAUUGAAAUGGACUGUGCUUGCGAUUGAAUGUAGUCAUGUAUAUGUUGUUUCACUUGGUCUAUGUCAGUCUUUGUUAGGUUUAACUUUUUCUCUACAGGAGGUGUACUGAAGGUACGUUGCCUAUGUUGUAAGUCUAUGUUAAUCUAAAGUAAAUGUUAAAUUAAUAGCCAGGUGGUCGGAUCAUUUUUUUUUCUGUAAAGGCUUAUUUGUUUCUGAACCGCAUUUAUGUUGGACUGCGUAAUAUAUCGAAUUGCUGUUAGUAUGUUAAUAGAAUAUUUCACCUGCGUAGUUUACGGUAAAAUGCAAAUAUUAUAUUAUACAACGUGUUUCGAAAACGUACGGAGAAAAUUCAUAGUUGUUCCUUGAGCUAUUCUCAUAAUAUUUUGCAUUUGAUAUGUUCUUUAAUUAUUUAAAAAAAUGAAAAUUAUUGCGGAUACUGUUCCAAAAAAAACUAAAAUCAACAUUACAUCAUCAGUAGGUGACAAACCUCAGAGAUUCAGAUAAGUACACGUUUUUUUAUUUAUCACAAGUCAGCAAUUAGAUUUGCAAUUUUAUUCGGUACAGUUAUGUAUGUUAAUGAAAAUAAUGAGAUAUCUGCAGCUUUUCGGCUUUUAUCGGGUAUCCGUACUUAUACUGAAAGUAUGGCUUCACCCCAAAUAUUGUUUCGUAUUACUGGAGUGUUUUACUAUCGUCUUAUUUAUCACCCAUCCACACAAGAAAAUGUAUUGUUGUAUGUAAAUUAGCUUUGUCGUUUUUACAACAGUUUCAAGCUCAAUAAAGUAAUUCUUUCAGAGAAAGUCAGGAAAUUAUUUGGGGAGAAGCAUUUUCAGCGCAUAGCUAUAUCAUGUAGUUACUAAGUUUCAUACUUAAAAUGUCGUACACAAUACAUGAAACUUAUGCAUGUACAAAUAAUCGCUAAUAUAAUUGAAUCUCAUUAUUAGUGCCCAUACACUUAUUGCUUAGAUUAAUAAUCAUCUAUUUACUCAAGGAUGUGAAUAUUUUGAAUAGGUCCAUCUACCAGGCUUUAAUCUCAGUCUCAGAUAAUAUAAACAGGUGUUUAACUUAGUUCUCCGCAUUAAUAUGUUUAAUACGUGCAUCAUUGAAU